rnacentral:rRNA from 1 species
AAAUUGAAGAGUUUGAUCAUGGCUCAGAUUGAACGCUGGCGGCAGGCCUAACACAUGCAAGUCGAGCGGUAACACAGAGAGCUUGCUCUCGGGUGACGAGCGGCGGACGGGUGAGUAAUGUCUGGGAAACUGCCUGAUGGAGGGGGAUAACUACUGGAAACGGUAGCUAAUACCGCAUAACGUCGCAAGACCAAAGUGGGG